rnacentral:rRNA from 1 species
AUUGAACGCUGGCGGCAGGCCUAACACAUGCAAGUCGAGCGAGCGGCGGACGGGUGAGUAAUGUCUGGGAAACUGCCUGAUGGAGGGGGAUUACUACUGGAAACGGUAGCUAAUACCGCAUACCAUCAGAUGUGCCCAGAUGGGAUUAGCUAGUGGGUGGGGUAACGGCCUACCUAGGCGACGAUCCCUAGCUGGUCUGAGAGGAUGACCAGUCACACUGGAACUGAGACACGGUCCAGACUCCUACGGGAGGCAGCAGUGGGGAAUAUUGGACAAUGGGCGCAAGCCUGAUCCAGCCAUGCCGCGUGUGUGAAGAAGGCCUUCGGGUUGUAAAGCACUUUCAGCGGGGAGGCGUUACCCACAGAAGAAGCACCGGCUAACUCCGUGCCAGCAGCCGCGGUAAUUC